rnacentral:rRNA from 1 species
CGGCCGCGUCGACCGGCGUGACGGUCUGCUUAACGACAGUGCAAGUCGAACGGAGUAGAAAUACUUAGUGGCGGACGGGUGAGUAACGCGUGAGAAUCUGCCUUCAGGACGGAGACAACAGUUGGAAACGACUGCUAAGCCCCGAUAAACCGAAAGGGAAAAUAUUUAUAGCCUGAAGAUGAGCUCGCGUCCGAUUAGCUAGUUGGUGGGGUAAAAGCUCACCAAGGCGACGAUCAGUAGCUGGUCUGAGAGGAUGAUCAGCCACACUGGGACUGAGACACGGCCCAGACUCCUACGGGAGGCAGCAGUGGGGAAUUUUCCGCAAUGGGCGAAAGCCUGACGGAGCAAGACCGCGUGGGGGAAGAAGGCCGCCAGCGGUCGACGCGGCCG